rnacentral:rRNA from 1 species
GACAGAGGGGGCAAGCGUUGCUCGGAAUUACUGGGCGUAAAGGGCGCGUAGGCGGGAUGGCAAGUCGGUCGCGAAAUCCCUCGGCUCAACCGAGGAACGUCGAUCGAUACUGCUGUUCUUGAGGAUUGCAGAGGAGACUGGAAUUCCCGGUGUAGCGGUGAAAUGUGUAGAGAUCGGGAGGAACACCGGUGGCGAAGGCGGGUCUCUGGGCAAUUCCUGACGCUGAGGCGCGAAAGCGUGGGGAGCAAACGGG